UUAAUCACAGUGACGGAUAAUAAUUAUUAUUAGUGUACCGUUCAUAUGCACUGAAAUUAAUCCUAAUAUUUAAUUCAAUGAAACUACUGGGAAUUGAAGAAUACAUAAUUUAUUAAAUCCCAUGAGAGUUAUUUAGGUAAAAUCACCAAUAGGUGUCAUAUACAAGCCGCAUGAAAUACUCAAGUAAAAUUUAAACUCGUUGUCAGGAACACGUUUUGUAAAAUAAAAAAAAAAUUGUCAAAGAACACUUUGAAAAUGGAAAUUGGUCUUCAACACUUCAUUUUGUUUUCAUUAUACAACCGAACAAAAGCUAUGUGUGUACAAGUGAUGUAGUUACACUAUCCGGUGGUUGCAGUGCCAUGUGUACCGAUACGCUUUACAAGAAGUAGCGGUCGUGUGGUCAAAACAGCCGCGACAAACGUAUC